rnacentral:rRNA from 1 species
AGUGAACGCUGGCGGCGUGCCUAAUACAUGCAAGUCGAACGUGAAAGUCCUUCGGGAUGAGUAAAGUGGCGGACGGGUGAGUAAUCCAUGGGAACGUGCCCUCAAGUGUGGAAUAACUGUUGGAAACGACAGCUAAUACCGCAUAGUCUCGAGAGAGUAAAGGUGGCUCCCGCAAGGGGCUAUUGCUUGAGGAUCGGCCCAUGUCCCAUUAGCUAGUUGGUAGGGUAAAGGCCUACCAAGGCGACGAUGG